CGUGUAGGCGGUCCGCUAAGUCUGAUGUGAAAGCCCGGGGCUUACCCCCGGAAGGGCAUUGGAAACUGGCGAACUCGAGUCCCGGAGAGGAAGGUGGAAUUCCUGGUGUAGCGGUGAAAUGCGUAGAUAUCAGGAGGAAUACCGGUGGCGAAGGCGGCCUUCUGGACGGUGACUGACGCUGAGACGCGAAAGCGUGGGGAGCAAACA
rnacentral:rRNA from 1 species